rnacentral:rRNA from 1 species
AUGGUUAAGUUAGAAAGGGCGCACGGUGGAUGCCUUGGCACUAGGAGCCGAUGAAGGACGGGACGAACACCGAUAUGCUUCGGGGAGCUGUAAGCAAGCUUUGAUCCGGAGAUUUCCGAAUGGGGAAACCCACUGCUCGUAAUGGAGUAGUAUCCAUACUUGAAUACAUAGAGUAUGAG